rnacentral:tRNA from 1 species
GUAGGCAUAGUUUAACCAAAACAUUAGAUUGUGAUUCUAAAAACAGGGGUGAUAAACCCCCUUGCCCACC